GCAGCAACCCUAACGUCCCUACCAAGGCCUCCAUCGUCUCCAUCGCGCCAGAGAGAGAGAGAGAGAGAGAGAGAGGUGGUGAUGUCUUCUCCUCUUCACUGUUGCCCGCCACAACGAUACCGAACACCACCCCAGUCUCCUUCUUGCAUGUGAUCAAAAACGCAAAAAUUGCGGUGAAGAACGACAUCGUUGCGCUGAUGGCCUGGUUGAAGGAGACAGGGAGGUAGCGGUCUUGAGCGGUUGCCGUGACAACAUCAGCAUCUGCAUCUGCGCGUGCAAUUGGAAUCGAUAAUGAUUCCCCAGUUAAGAGUAUAUUAUACACUGCACUCUCCCUUUCCAACAUUCUUCACUUCAAUGUGUAGAUCGUGGUGGGCGAGGACGAGCCCGAGGACAGAAUCAUCAACCCCUUUAAGAAGGAGGUCCUCAAAGCCGGUGUGCUUCAGGAGUGCAAACGCAGAAGGUUCUCUGAGAACAAAGACGACAAGAUCAAGAGGAAGGCCCGCAAAGCUUCUAGAAGGAACCAAAAGAGAAGCCACAAUCAAGAGCUUGGGGACAGAAUAAACACGAUUCUGAAAAGAAGAAAAAGGAUGUUGCUGAUGAUGAUAUUGAUGAUUGGGAACUUCCACAUGGUAUUGCUGAUACAAUGGGAUGUUUGCAAAGGGAGGGUCGUUUGCUUCAGGGAGAGCAUAAUCUUUUAGGCGAAGCAUUUCUUGUUAUGUCUUUCUUCUGCUGGGGUGUCACAGAUGGAUCUAAGAUUGACAUGAAUAAAGAAGGAUACGCUGAACCCAAUGAAUCAGAUAUUCGAAAUUGGUUUAAAGGCAUCAGAGACAGUGGAUGCCUUUCAGCCUGUUUGGCUUAUUUAUCCCAAUGUCAACAUGUGUUUGGGAAAAGGAAAUAAAAGGAGUUCUGAUGUAAAAGUAACUUCUAAGUAACAAAAAAAUGCUCGACAAAAUACCUCCUAGCAUGCAAUACUCUUUGAUUUGCACAUACUACAGAUGCAUCUAAACCUUUCGCUCUCGGCAAAUUUGAAAGAGGUUGAUGUCACUUGUCUCAACCUAUGCUUUCUUAAUUUAAGUUAGUGGAAGUUCAAGGAUGCUGCAGAACAGUUCCUUUGUUUCUGGCAUGAGUACAGGAAUGGGUUGUUAUAUGGCUGGUACCUAUGCAGACUGUUUCAGCUUAAUGAAUUGUUCCUUACAGAGCCUCAAAAGGCUAGGAUUUAUCAUUACUAUGUACCUGUCUUUCUCUGGUGUGAACAGCAGAUUACUGAGCAUCAGUCGAAGUUUAAAGAUGGAGAAGAUAUACCUCCUUUAGUGGAUGUCUCUUCCAAAGCAAUCAUCAAUAGAGCUGAAUUGAGUUCUAAUUAUAGGACAUCCAGUGGCUCUGAUAUGACAUUGUCAAGUUCUGAUGACAGUUCCUAAGAGGUUCAGGCUUGCAAAGGACACAACAUUUGGGGAGUCAGUCAUCAAUUUCCUUAUGGAUGAACUUUUGCGGGAAAAUAAGAGAAUGCUGGACAAAUCAGUUAGAGAAAUAGAAUGAGAGAGACAAGAUUUGCAGUCACAAGAGAAGAAACUGAUUUUGGAGAUAAAGAAAAGUGCCAAACAAGGCCAGAUGGUGGAUGAAUAUCAAUGGUUAGUCUGUCAUGUUAAUUUGAUUUGGCACUGCUUAUCUGGAGAGGUAAGAACCAAGUAAAAGCAUCAUGUAAUGUGGGCAGUUGGACAACAGAAAUGGAUAGUCAGCCAUCCGGUUCUGCUGCAGAUGUUGUAGAUGUUAAUGAGUCUGGAAGUAGCAAGUUAGGUGGAUCCGAGCCUGAGGGUGUUGUUCUCUACUUGCAGGAUCGAUUAAAGUGGCUCGAUCAGCAGGUCAUCAUAAAGGUUGUAUAAUUUUCAAAAGCCUAUCCUUUCAUGAUUUACUGCGAUCACUAUCUACAUCCUCUUUUCGUCUAUCCUUCCUUUCAAGUUUUCUGUUCUAAGUGCUGCUCCCUCAUGAUAGAUUACUUGUUAACUUUUUCAUUUUUUUUUACCAUCAAGGACAACCUGGAGUGUUUUGCUAAUUGAGAAUGACUUUAAAAGAAAAAAUUAUAUUGGUCUUAAAAAUGAGAAUGACUGUACACCCCGGUUUAUCUUAUUUCUUUGGGAUCUGGAAAUGAGAUGAAAAUAAAAUUUAUCAUCAAGGCUGAAAACCAAUUUGAUGCUUUAA